rnacentral:rRNA from 1 species
UCGUUGCACUAUCGUUAGCUGAAUACAUAGGCUAACGAGGCGAACCGGGGGAACUGAAACAUCUAAGUACCCCGAGGAAAAGAAAUCAACCGAGAUUCCCCCAGUAGCGGCGAGCGAACGGGGAGCAGCCCAGAGCCUGAAUCAGCAUGUGUGUUAGUGGAACGGUCUGGAAAGGCCGGCGAUACAGGGUGACAGCCCCGUACACGAAAAUGCAUGUGCUGUGAGCUCGAUGAGUAGGGCGGGACACGUGGUAUCCUGUCUGAAUAUGGGGGGACCAUCCUCCAAGGCUAAAUACUCCUGACUGACCGAUAGUGAACCAGUACCGUGAGGGAAAGGCGAAAAGAACCCCGGCGAGGGGAGUGAAAAAGAACCUGAAACCGUGUACGUACAAGCAGUGGGAGC